AUGAGGCCAGGGUAUGUUAAGCCGUACCCACCUGAUGUGGACCUAGUUCCUUUCCCAACAAAUUACAGGCAGUCGCAGUUUAGUAAGUUCAACGGGAGUGGAUCUCCCCAUGAGCACAUAGCACACUUCCUUGCUGCUUGUCAGGAUACAGCUAACAACGGAGCACUUCUCCUUAGGCAGUUUGUACAGACAUUGUCUGGGCCUGCCUUCACUUGGUACAGCAAGUUGCCUCCAAGCUCUAUAAAAACGUGGGAACAAAUGCAAAACUCAUUCCUCGAGAGGUUUUAUAGCACACAAAGGACGGUGGGCAUAACUGAGUUGACCCAAACUGAACAAGGGUUCAACGAGAGGGCGGCUGAUUUCAUAAAUAGAUGGAGAAAUCUAAGUCUUCAUUGCCCACAGCCAAUCAUUGAGCCAGAAGCAGUGCGCAUGUGCAUGAACAAUCUCCGCUCAGAAGUGGUUGUCCAGUUACAAGGAGUGAGGCCCCUCAUGUUUGAAGAGUUAGCUUCAAAAUCCACGGAUAUAGAAAAUUUUAUGCAGCUUGUCGCUCAUCGAACAAAAACAACGUUCAACAAGCCUACAGACAAAGGUGGUCAGCGUGAAAAGUUGCCGAUGAAACCCAAGUCUGCACAAGCCAUGGAGGCAACGACGGUAAAACCUCAGUUCCAGCCCAGAAGAGCACCUAUAGGGAAUCAAGGGCAGCGAGAUGCGCAGGUGCGGGAGGUUGAUAACAACGAGCUGAGAAAGAUGGCCCUGCCGUCCAUCCACGUGGUCCAAGCUCAGGAUGGUCGUGUGGUACGCCUAACUUCGUAA
rnacentral:rRNA from 1 species